AUGGAAAAGGGGGAGAAAAAAGGAACAGAAAAGAGGGGAAAAAGUGGAAAAGGAAAGAAAAGAAAAUGGGUAAAUCGAAAUGGGGGAAAAGGGGGAAAAUGGGAAAAAAUCAAGGAGAAAAUUGGAAAAGGAGGAAAAAAGAGUGGGGAAAUAAAAAAGGGAAAAAUGGAAAUGGGAGGAGAAAAGGAAAAUGGGAGAAAGAAAAUAGAAAAGGGGAAAAGAGGGAAAAAGAAGAGAAAGCAAAUGGGAAAAAAUGAAAAAGGAGGGAAAAACCCCAACCCAAGCAAGCCCAGAGGGGCUGGAAAGGGCAGAGCUUUGAUUUGGGUUCAAAACCCCCAGUUUGGGGUUCAGAGUCCCAGUUUGGGUUUGAAAUUGCUCCAGGUUGGGGUUCCAAGCCCCAGUUUGGGGUUCCAAGCCCCAGUUUGGGGUUCUGAACCCUGUUUUGGGGUUCAAAUCCCAGUUUGGGGUUUUCUUAGCCCAAGUUUGGGGUUCCAAACCUCAGUUUGGGAUUCCAAGCCCAGUUUGGGGCUCCAAAAUCCAUUUUGAGAUUCCAAGCCCCACUUUGGGGUUCUGAGCUCAAUUUAGGAUUCCAAACCCCAGUUUGGGAUUCCAAACCCCAUUUCUGGGGUUCCAAGCCCCAUUUUGGGGUUCCAAACCCCAUUUUGGGAUUCCAAACCCCAUUUUUGGGAUUCCAAGCCCGUUAAGGGUUCAAAGUCCCUUUUUGGGGUUCCAAGCCCCAUUCUGGGGUUCCAAGCCCAGUCUGGGUUGGUUCCGGCGCUGGGGGGGGUCGGGGUACCCCAAAAGGGGCUCUGGGACCCCCCGAGCGCGGUGGGGGGGGGGAUCCCCAAA
rnacentral:lncRNA from 1 species